rnacentral:rRNA from 1 species
CAUGAAGCUGGAAUCGCUAGUAAUCGCGGAUCAGAAUGCCGCGGUGAAUACGUUCCCGGGUCUUGUACACACCGCCCGUCACACCAUGGGAGUCGGAAAUGCCCGAAGUCUGUGACCUAACCGCAAGGGAGGAGCAGCCGAAGGCAGGUCGGAUGACUGGGGUGAAGUCGUAACAAGGUAAC